GACCCCUGCGUGGGAAGUCAGCACCCAGCUGCCUUGGCCCUCAGCCUAUUUCCUUUCCCCAUGAGACCCCACUUCCCUACUCCUCAGCCCCUGCCCCUCUGGACAGGGCCACCUCCAGCCACUGUCCCCAGGUGGGAUGCCAGACUCUAGCCAACUCGGCCUCUAGGGCUGCAGGGCUGGGCCAUCCAGAGGACCUCCCUGCUUGAAGGGGUACAAAGCCCCUCCCUCAGAAUAGACCUCCAGGUUCAGUAUUUGAGCACCCUUGCCCCACUAUAGCUCAGAGCUCCACCCUCUGUCCCCUUCUCCCAUUGAAGACCCUCAGCCAGACGGACCUCUGCUGCCCCUGUUCCUCCCAAAUACCCCAAAGGACCCACUGCCACCUCCUUGAGUGCU
rnacentral:lncRNA from 1 species